rnacentral:rRNA from 1 species
CCUACGGGCGGCAGCAGUGAGGAAUAUUGGUCAAUGGGCGAGAGCCUGAACCAGCCAAGUCGCGUGAGGGAGUACUGCCCUAUGGGUUGUAAACCUCUUUUGUCGGGGAGCAAAAGCCGGACGUGUCCGGCUGUGAGAGUACCCGAAGAAAAAGCAUCGGCUAACUCCGUGCCAGCAGCCGCGGUAAUACGGAGGAUGCGAGCGUUAUCCGGAUUUAUUGGGUUAAAAGGGUGCGCAGGCGGAUUUUUAAGUCAGCGGUAAAAUCGUGGGGCUCAACCCCAUCCAGCCGGUGAAACUGGGGAUCUAGAGUGUGCGAGAGGUAUGCGGAAUGCGUGGUGUAGCGGUGAAAUGCAUAGAUAUCACGCAGAACCCCGAUUGCGAAGGCAGCAUACCGGUGCACAACUGACGCUCAGGCACGAAAGCGUGGGUAUCGAACAGGAUUAGAUACCCCGGUAGUC